UGGGGAAUAUUGGACAAUGGGGGCAACCCUGAUCCAGCCAUGCCGCGUGUGUGAAGAAGGCCUUUUGGUUGUAAAGCACUUUAAGCAGGGAGGAGAGGCUAAUGGUUAAUACCCAUUAGAUUAGACGUUACCUGCAGAAUAAGCACCGGCUAACUCUGUGCCAGCAGCCGCGGUAAUACAGAGGGUGCGAGCGUUAAUCGGAAUUACUGGGCGUAAAGCGAGUGUAGGUGGCUCAUUAAGUCACAUGUGAAAUCCCCGGGCUUAACCUGGGAACUGCAUGUGAUACUGGUGGUGCUAGAAUAUGUGAGAGGGAAGUAGAAUUCCCAGGUGUAGCGGUGAAAUGCGUAGAGAUCUGGAGGAAUACCGAUGGCGAAGGCAGCUUCCUGGCAUAAUAUUGACACUGAGAUUCGAAAGCGUGGGUAGCAAACAGGAUUAGAUACCCUGGUAGUCCACGCCGUAAACGAUGUCUACUAGCCGUUGGGGUCCUUGAGACUUUAGUGGCGCAGUUAACGCGAUAAGUNGACCGCCUGGGGAGUACGGCC
rnacentral:rRNA from 1 species